rnacentral:rRNA from 1 species
CUACGGAGGGGGCUAGCGUUGUUCGGAAUUACUGGGCGUAAAGCGCGCGUAGGCGGACCAGUCAGUCAGGGGUGAAAUCCCGGGGCUCAACCCCGGAACUGCCUUUGAUACUGCUGGUCUUGAGUUCGAGAGAGGUGAGUGGAAUUCCGAGUGUAGAGGUGAAAUUCGUAGAUAUUCGGAGGAACACCAGUGGCGAAGGCGGCUCACUGGCUCGAUACUGACGCUGAGGUGCGAAAGCGUGGGGAGCAAACAGGAUUAGAUACCCUAGUAGUCC